UAUAUUCAGAAGUCUGUUCCGAAAACAAAAUGCUUUCAUACAAAUCUAAUUCUAGAUCUUGAGUCUAAACAUCUAAUACUUAUUCAUAAGUGAUAACGGUCUCUGUGUUACUAAAAAAAAA
rnacentral:sRNA from 1 species